rnacentral:rRNA from 1 species
UUCUGACCGUAAACGAUGCCAACUAGCGAUCCGCCGGUGGAUUUUUAGCCCUGGUGGGUAGCUUCCCGGAAACGAAAGUCUUCCGGUUCCGGGGGAAGUAUGGUUGCAAAGCUGAAACUUAAAGGAAUUGACGGAAGGGCACCACCAGGAGUGGAGCCUGCGGCUUAAUUUGACUCAACACGGGGAAACUCACCCGGCCCGGACACCGUAAGGAUUGACAGAUUGAUAGCUCUUUCAUGAUUCGGUGGUUGGUGGUGCAUGGCCGUUCUUAGUUCGUGGAUCGAUUUGUCUGGUUUAUUCCGAUAACGAGCGAGACUCUAGCCUACUAAAUAGUAGCGGGAUUAUCACUGUCCCAGUUGCUUCUUAGAGGGAUUUUCGGUGUUUAGCCGCACGAGAUUGAGCAAUAACAGGUCUGUGAUGCCCUUAGAUGUCCGGGGCUGCACGCGCGCUACACUGGCGAAAUCAGCGUGCUUUAUCCAUUCUCGAAAGGGAUUGGUAAACCCAUGAAAAUUUGCCGUGCUUGGGAUCGGAAAUUGCAAUUAUUUUCCGUGAACGAGGAAUUCCAAGUAAGUGCGAGUCAUCAACUCGCUCUG